AUAACCGGAGGCAGCAGUGGGGAAUAUUGGACAAUGGGCGCAAGCCUGAUCCAGCCAUGCCGCGUGAGUGAUGAAGGCCUUAGGGUUGUAAAGCUCUUUCGCCAGGGACGAUAAUGACGGUACCUGGAUAAGAAGCCCCGGCUAACUUCGUGCCAGCAGCCGCGGUAAU
rnacentral:rRNA from 1 species